rnacentral:other from 6 species
ACGGUUAUAAAUCAACAUAUUGAUUUAUAAGCAUGGAAAUCCCCUGAGUGAAACAACGAAUUGCUGUGUGUAGUCUUUGCCCAUCUCCCACGAUGGGCUUUUUUU